CGCCAGACUCCUACGGGAGGCAGCAGUGGGGAAUAUUGCACAAUGGGGGAAACCCUGAUGCAGCGACGCCGCGUGAGUGAAGAAGUAUUUCGGUAUGUAAAGCUCUAUCAGCAGGGAAGAAGUUGACGGUACCUGAGUAAGAAGCCCCGGCUAACUACGUGCCAGCAGCCGCGGUAAUACGUAGGGGGCAAGCGUUAUCCGGAUUUACUGGGUGUAAAGGGAGCGUAGACGGCGAAGAAAGUCUGAAGUGAAAGCCCGCGGCUCAACCGCGGAAUGGCUUUGGAAACUGUAGAGCUUGAGUACCGGAGGGGUAAGCGGAAUUCCUAGUGUAGCGGUGAAAUGCGUAGAUAUUAGGAGGAACACCAGUGGCGAAGGCGGCUUACUGGACGGUAACUGACGUUGAGGCUCGAAAGCGUGGGUAGCAAACAGGAUUAGAUACCCCAGUA
rnacentral:rRNA from 1 species